UACAGAGGGUGCAAGCGUUAAUCGGAAUCACUGGGCGUAAAGCGCACGUAGGCGGCUUUCUAAGUCAGGGGUGAAAUCCUGGAGCUCAACUCCAGAACUGCCUUUGAUACUGGAGAGCUUGAGUCCGGAAGAGGUGAGUGGAACUCCGAGUGUAGAGGUGAAAUUCGUAGAUAUUCGGAAGAACACCAGUGGCGAAGGCGGCAUUCUGGACUGCAACUGACACUGAGGAACGAAAGCCAGGGGAGCAAACGGG
rnacentral:rRNA from 1 species